GAUGAAGAACGCAGCGAAAUGCGAUAAGUAAUGUGAAUUGCAGAAUUCAGUGAAUCAUCGAAUCUUUGAACGCACAUUGCGCCCGCCAGUAUUCUGGCGGGCAUGCCUGUCUGAGCGUCAUUUCAACCCUCAUGCCCCUAGGGCGUGGUGUUGGGGAUCGGCCAAAGCCCGCGAGGGACGGCCGGCCCCUAAAUCUAGUGGCGGACCCGUCGUGGCCUCCUCUGCGAAGUAGUGAUAUUCCGCAUCGGAGAGCGAUGAGCCCCUGCCGUUAAACCCCCAACUUUCCAAGGUUGACCUCAGAUCAGGUAGGAAUACCCGCUGAACUUUAGCAUAUCAAUAAGCGGAGGA
rnacentral:misc_RNA from 1 species